UACGGAGGAUCCAAGCGUUAUCCGGAUUUAUUGGGCUUAAAGGGUGCGUAGGCGGCUUAUUAAGUCAGGGGUGAAAGCCGGUGGCUCAACCAUCGCAGUGCCCUUGAUACUGAUGAGCUUGAAUACACUUGAGGUAGGCGGAAUGUGACAAGUAGCGGUGAAAUGCAUAGAUAUGUCACAGAACACCAAUGGCGAAGGCAGCUUACUAAGGUGCAAUUGACGCUGAGGCACGAAAGCGUGGGGAUCAAACAGG
rnacentral:rRNA from 1 species